rnacentral:rRNA from 1 species
CCUACGGGUGGCAGCAGUGGGGGAUAUUGCACAAUGGGGGAAACCCUGAUGCAGCGACGCCGCGUGGGCGAAGAAGUAUCUCGGUAUGUAAAGCCCUAUCAGCAGGGAAGAAGAAAUGACGGUACCUGAGUAAGAAGCACCGGCUAAAUACGUGCCAGCAGCCGCGGUAAUACGUAUGGUGCAAGCGUUAUCCGGAUUUACUGGGUGUAAAGGGAGCGCAGGCGGCACGGCAAGCCUGAUGUGAAAGCCCGCGGCCCAACCGCGGGACUGCAUUGGGAACUACCGGGCUGGAGUGCAGGAGAGGUAGGCGGAAUGCCUGGUGUAGCGGUGAAAGGCGUAGAUAUUAGGAGGAACACCAGUGGCGAAGGCGGCCUGCUGGACGGUGACUGACGCUGAGGCUCGAAAGCGUGGGGAGCAAACAGGAUUAGAUACCCUUGUAGUC